ensembl:lncRNA
GGAAAAGGAAUCAUCCGAAUGGCAGAAAGUAAGACUUAUGCACCAACCCCAAUGGCAUGCAGUAUCCUGUAAUAAAGGCACUGGGACAGUAACACUAUGAAUACUCAGGUUUCCAGCUGAAAGAUCAUGGAGCCAACAUGCUACAUCUCCGAAGACUGUAUUCAGGUACCACUGCAGGAGAGUGCUAAUUUCAUCAUCUUAGUGGAAGAUCUCUGUAGGACUAGAUUCUUCCUCUGGUAAGGAGAAAACUUGACAUCUAGAAACUAAAUUUGGUAUGAUGGAAUCAGACAUUACUAAACUAGAGGUCAAUGUUUAUAUGCUGAAUUUUAUUCACUUUUUUUUCAUGUACAAUCUGUCCAGGUCAUUUUCUUCCCUCCUUGACUAUUUUGAUGACACAAAUCAAAAUCUGUGGUGACAGGGAAAGGAAGAACCAGAAAAGUCAUUAUUUGCAUUCAACAGCUGAAGACUUGCAAAGGAUUCCAGAAUGUAGUGUGAUCAUGGAGCAUGUGGGCUUUUCUGCGAAUACCAAAAUGCAAGUUUAACAUUUAAACAAGUAUCAGAUAAAAAUGCAUGUACUAACUUUUGAAGCCAUACUUUUCAAGUGUGAAAUAUGUUAAAAGACAGUUUUAAGUACAACACUAAUUAGACGAACACUUUAACUUAGUGGAUACAAGAUGUCUGUGCAAAUGUCUUCCUGCAGAACCAAAUGAAUCCGUGGUAUAAUGUGCAAUGAAAAAGCAAGAGAGAAUGUAGCAGUGGAAGUUUCCUUUACCACUUCUAACCUCUUACACAUUUUACUGUUUUGAGACUUCAAACACACAAAAUCUCUGGCUUCAAUUGUAUCUAGCCAGAGGGAAAUGUAAAUUACAUUAAAACUACAUCAAAAACUGUAUUAAAAAUUAUAGUUUGAAAACUAUUAGAAGUUGUAAUUUUGUAUACACUUAGAUGAAUUAAGCACAUAUUCAUCACAUUAAGAUGUCUGCAUGUACUCCAACCCCCCACUGCAAUACGGAUGCUUCCAGUUCAGUUUUCAAGACAUGUUUUCCUUUAGAAUCUAGGUUCAGUUUUCUUUCUUCCAUCCUCUUCUCUGUGGAAGUUUCUGCACAGGAUGUGCUUCCAAGAAUGAAGUCCUUUUAUUGGGCACUGACCAGAGCAUAGUUGGAUAGGGUGUAGAUAUGAACUUCAAAAUUUUCUAUUAUUUUGUAUUUUUCAUUUGCAAUACUUUUGCAAU